UGAGUAAUGUCUGGGAAACUGCCUGAUGGAGGGGGAUAACUACUGGAAACGGUAGCUAAUACCGCAUAACGUCGCAAGACCAAAGAGGGGGACCUUCGGGCCUCUUGCCAUCAGAUGUGCCCAGAUGGGAUUAGCUAGUAGGUGGGGUAAUGGCUCACCUAGGCGACGAUCCCUAGCUGGUCUGAGAGGAUGACCAGCCACACUGGAACUGAGACACGGUCCAGACUCCUACGGGAGGCAGCGGGGGGAAAUUUUGGCAAUGGGGGGCACAAGCCUGAUGCAGCCAUGCCGCGUGUGUGAAGAAGGCCUUCGGGUUGUAAAGCACUUUCAGCGAGGAGGAAGGUGGUGAGCUUAAUACGCUCAUCAAUUGACGUUACUCGCAGAAGAAGCACCGGCUAACUCCGUGCCAGCAGCCGCGGUAAUACGGAGGGUGCAAGCGUUAAUCGGAAUUACUGGGCGUAAAGCGCACGCAGGCGGUUUGUUAAGUCAGAUGUGAAAUCCCCGGG
rnacentral:rRNA from 1 species